UUAUUUUGCAUUCAUGCUGCCUUUAUCCUAGGAACCUACAAAUCUACAAUUAGAAACUCAAUGAUAAUUGAAAUAGUAGUGCAACUUGAAUCACACUGUAAACAUUCAGGGAAGUCAUUAGCUUCAUUUGUUGGGAAAUUUAUAAAUAGGAUCUGUAUUUUGGAUUAGUAGUUUAUUGGUGCCUUUACCAGUUGUAAUGACAGUUGAUACAUGGGUCUUCAAAAACCUGAUUCAUGGUAAACUGUAGAUUGUAACCUUGAGUCUGGAAGAAUGGCAUGUUAUAAGUUAGUGGCUUGAACACUGGAUUGUCCAUCUGU
rnacentral:lncRNA from 1 species